rnacentral:tRNA from 1 species
GCCUGGGUGGCUCAGUUGGUUGAGCAUCUGACUUCAGCUCAGGUCAUGAUCUCACGGUUCAUGGGAUCGAGCCCUGCGUCAGGCU